rnacentral:misc_RNA from 1 species
GUAAAAUAACUGAAAACUUAGUGACUAAAAAUAGAAAAAUACAGUAACAGACCAACUGUCAGCCAUAGUCAAAAGCUAAGGAGCUUCAAAUUCACUUUAACCGUUAAAUCUCAUCUUUUGUCUCUGUCUCCGGAAACUCCUUGAGCCCUAAGGCCUCUGUCUUAAGUCUUUACAAAGAAUGGCAGACCCGAGUCAGCUGACUCAGCUUAUUGAAUUGUAAUUGACUCGUCCUGCUCUCUAACUCAUCGGGUUCAAGUCUCAUUCUUCUCUUAUUUGCGUUAGUUCUUUAAUUUUGAAUUUUAAUCAGCUUUUCCAGUUCCUUAAUUGGUUUCUUAAAGAAUUGUUCUU